rnacentral:lncRNA from 1 species
GCUAAGCCUGUAUUAUGUCAAGAUCCAUAGUAGGCUUAUUGUGCUAUCUAUAAGGCUUACUGUGGGGAUUGAUUUGAUACUAUGUUGGUGCAUAAUAAAGCUGAUGAUAAUUAGCUCAUACUACGUCAAUAGAGUAUGUCAAAAACUGUAGUUAGUUUGUUGUACUAUCCACAAGGCUUGCUAUAGUGAUUUGCAUGAUGUUGAUCUAGUGAUGCUUAUGGUA